rnacentral:rRNA from 1 species
UACAGAGGGUGCGAGCGUUGUUCGGAUUUACUGGGCGUAAAGCGUGCGCAGGCGGUUCGUUGUGUCGGUGGUGAAAGCCCCCGGGCUCAACCUGGGAAUGGCCAUGGAAACUGGCGAACUGGAGUGUGGCAGAGGGGGGUGAAAUUCCGCGUGUAGCAGUGAAAUGCGUAGAGAUGCGGAGGAACACCCGAUGGCGAAGGCAGCCCCCCUGGGCUAGCACUGACGCUCAGGCACGAAAGCGUGGGGAGCAAACAGG